AUGGUGGCGUGUUUUUUAUGUUGCAGGUCGCAGUUAAUGGGGAUUCUGUGGAGUCCCAGAGUUAUGAGCAACAGGAGAGGCCCAACCCUGUCCGUCUGCCUCCCCUCUCCCCUUCUCCCCUCUCUGCUCAUGCUUCCUCCCCGUCUCCCCUGCCUCCUCCUCCUCCCUCCUCCCCCUCAGCCCUCUCUCUCCCACCCUGCUCCCCCUCUGCCUUACCACUGCCUCCUCCCUCUCCUCUGCAUUCCUCUGCUGUCCUCCCCCUCUCCCCUCCCUCCUCUGCCAUCUUCCCCCCCGCUUCUUCUCCCUCCACCUCCAUCCCCCCGUCUCCCCUUGCGCCCUCCCAGCCUACGGAGACCUAGACCGCCCUCUCCUGUCUCCCUCUGCGACCCGGCAGACGAGGAGGUGUAUCACAUCACCAGCUCAGCCUGCCACAGAUGGAGAGACGAGGAGGGAGGAGACCGCAGCCACUCCCUCUCCCCAUACACCGCCUCCUCCUCCUCCCCUCCGCCUCCCCCGCUACCGCCUUCCUCAUCAAGGAGCGCGCUCAGCCUGCUUGGGGCGGGACUGACGGACCGUGACUUCAAGAAAGGUUUAAGCGUUGACAACCAGGCCUUCCUGGACGAGCCGCCGUCAUUGUCUGCUGGUUACGCUGACGACCAUCGGCGGCACUCUAUUGAGGUCUGCCUCCCACAGGCUGUCAUCACCCGUGAUGACCAACACUUUACACGCGAGGCACACCGGUCAGAAAAAGGUGGUCAGGUAUUUCCUGUGAGGGUGCAGUCGGUCGGGGGCGGUCACAGAAAGAAGAAGAUGAGUCCUCCUUGUAUAUCCAUCCACCCGCCCUCAGAGAGGGAACACCCCCAAAUGGCCUCACCCACAAAAAUGUCUGACUGCAGCAUGUUGCUGAGACGCAGGACGCCGUCCUACGACUUGUCCCCUCACACACAUGCCAACAUGCAAGACGCCUCUGCAGAUUCACUGACGCGCACACAGAUGCACUCCCCGAUGCACACGUCUCUCACACCCAUAAACGUACCGCUGCAAGCACACUCACCAACACACACACUUACACUCUCGCGGGCAUCUACUCCGACACACACUCAGGCAUACACUCCGCCACACCCAUCCACACCUACACUUCCACACAUCCCGAUCAGCCCGAACAUCUUCAUCCAGCCUCAUGCACCUCUCGUCCCGAUGCCUUUCUCACAGACGCACUCCCUCUCCCCUUCUGCGAGGCACUCCUCCCUCACAGGGGACUACAUCCCCCUCCCCCAGUUCACCUUCGAUCAACCACAGUCUAGAUACAUGAGCGGCCUGUCGGCCGGCCUAUCAGACACGGAUACGGCCACCUGCUCUUCCCCUUUCGACAACAGACUGGGAAGCGGUGCAGGAUUCAGUGCAAAGAACCGGAGGACCGCCCAAUGA
rnacentral:lncRNA from 1 species